GGCCCGGUGGCGGAAUGUUUACGCGGGGGGCAGUGCAUCGCUCUUUGAUCCUGGUUCAAAUCCAGGCCGGGCCUCCA
rnacentral:tRNA from 1 species